rnacentral:misc_RNA from 1 species
AAGUCGUAACAAGGUUUCCGUAGGUGAACCUGCGGAAGGAUCAUUAUUGUAAUGGGGUUGUAAACCAUCCCCGGGCGAACGAGUUGGCAGCGGUCCCUCGUGCGAACACUGCCUUCUCGCAAACCCAAACCCUUGUCUAUGAGUACCUGUCUUUUCCCUCGGUAGGCUUGCCUGCCGCUAGGGACAAUACCUAAACCUUUUGUGCAACUAUUAUCUUGUAACCGUACAAACUUUAAUCUUACAACUUUCAACAACGGAUCUCUUGGUUCUG